rnacentral:rRNA from 1 species
CAGCAGCCGCGGUAAUACGAAGGGGGCUAGCGUUGUUCGGAAUUACUGGGCGUAAAGCGCACGCAGGCGGCUCGAUAAAUUAGAAGUGAAAGCCUUGGGCUUAACCUGAGAAUUGCUUUUAAGACUGUCGAGCUAGAAUCCAGAAGAGGGUAGUGGAAUUCCGAGUGUAGAGGUGAAAUUCGUAGAUAUUCGGAAGAACACCAGUGGCGAAGGCGACUACCUGGUCUGGCAUUGACGCUCAUGUGCGAAAGCGUGGGGAGCAAACAGGAUUAGAUACCCCCGUAGUCCCUGUCUCUUAUAC